rnacentral:rRNA from 1 species
UACGUAGGUGGCAAGCGUUGUCCGGAUUUAUUGGGCGUAAAGAGCGUGUAGGCGGUCCGGUAAGUCCGCUGUGAAAGUCCAGGGCUCAACCCUGGAAUGCCGGUGGAUACUGCCGGGCUAGAGUCCGGAAGAGGCGAGUGGAAUUCCUGGUGUAGCGGUGAAAUGCGCAGAUAUCAGGAGGAACACCGAUGGCGAAGGCAGCUCGCUGGGCCGGUACUGACGCUGAGACGCGAAAGCGUGGGGAGCAAACAGG